rnacentral:lncRNA from 10 species
GUUUUGGUGUCAAAAAAGAAAAAGUAGGUAGAUUUAUUAUCUUAAGAGCUCUCUCCUGUUGGUCUAAUUCUUAUUUCGGGUAUAAACACAAACACAAAAAGAUUUGAGUAAAAUUAUGAGUUGUUCUUCUGAAAUUGCUGGUUUUUUAAAUAUUUUAUCAAGCCUCCCCACCAGUUGCUAUACUGUGCUUUAAUAUCUUACAGCUGCUGGAAAGUUGUAUAAGCGUAAGUUGCUGGAUGGUAUAAGGUCUCUCAAAGGUAAGUGAGAAAUCAGGUAAAACUGAUUGUGUUUACUUUUUUAAAACCACAUAUAUUUGGGGUGAUGACAAGUUUGGCAAUUAACCUGUUUAUUGUUUUUGUCUCAUAAUUUACUACUUUGAACAUAGUGCCUUUGGGGAAGUGAUUUUUUAUUCUAUCACUGCAUUUAAAAUCUAUUUUACAAAUAGAAUUAUAAAGGCAGCUUCUUGCCACAUUUCAUCAGACUUGCCUAGUUCUUCAGUUUUUUCCUUAUAAAUGUCCCAUGAAACCUAUAGUCAGAUCCUCUAGACAAAAAUGGGAGAGCAUUCCCAUUUUUGGGAUUCACAUGGCAAUUAUUUUCAUAUAAACAACUUUAUUGUUUCUUUGAUUGUUUACCCUCUAUUAACUCAUGGACAUGCCUAGUAUUUUUCACUUUAUCAUUAUUGUUUGCAUUUCUCAUUCCUGUUCUCUUUUUUCUAAGGAGUGAAGCUUAGUGUUGAUAAACUAGAACCUUUCAUGGAACAUAUGGGCUUUGAGCUUGAGGAAGAGGAAUACCAAGAUCUGAAAAACAACCUGCCCAUUGAUGAUGAGGGAAGAGUUAAUGUGAAUGUGGUGAUGGAUGAAGGAUAUCUUUUUACAGGUGAGAAGGUUGAUGCUAGGAACCUGGAAAAUUUUCUGGAAAAUAUGGGGAUAAAUCUCACAGAAGAUAAAGGCAUGCAACUGCUGAAUAAUCUUCCAAUUGAUGGUAAGCAUUAAAAAUAUCACACAACCAGGCGUAGUGGCACAUGCUUGUGGUCCCAGCUACUCAGGAGGCUGAGGCGGGAGGAUUGCUGGGGCCCAGGAGGUCAAGGCUGCUUUGAGCAGUGAUCACGCCACUGCAUUCCAGCCUGGAUGAC